rnacentral:tRNA from 1 species
GGAGGUAUAGUUCAGUGGUAGAACACGUGCUUAGCAUGCAUGAGGUCCUGGGUUCAAUGCCCAGUACCUCCA